UGGCAUAAAGUCAGAGAUUUUAUGAUGC
rnacentral:piRNA from 1 species